UCCUGACUGACCGAUAGUGAACCAGUACCGUGAGGGAAAGGCGAAAAGAACCCCGGCGAGGGGAGUGAAAAAGAACCUGAAACCGUGUACGUACAAGCAGUGGGAGCACGCUUAGGCGUGUGACUGCGUACCUUUUGUAUAAUGGGUCAGCGACUUAUAUUCUGUAGCAAGGUUAACCGAAUAGGGGAGCCGAAGGGAAACCGAGUCUUAACUGGGCGUUAAGUUGCAGGGUAUAGACCCGAAACCCGGUGAUCUAGCCAUGGGCAGGUUGAAGGUUGGGUAACACUAACUGGAGGACCGAACCGACUAAUGUUGAAAAAUUAGCGGAUGACUUGUGGCUGGGGGUGAAAGGCCAAUCAAACCGGGAGAUAGCUGGUUCUCCCCGAAAGCUAUUUAGGUAGCGCCUCGUGAAUUCAUCUCCGGGGGUAGAGCACUGUUUCGGCAAGGGGGUCAUCCCGACUUACCAACCCGAUGCAAACUGCGAAUACCGGAGAAUGUUAUCACGGGAGACACACGGCGGGUGCUAACGUCCGUCGUGAAGAGGGAAACAACCCAGACCGCCAGCUAAGGUCCCAAAGUCAUGGUUAAGUGGGAAACGAUGUGGGAAGGCCCAGACAGCCAGGAUGUUGG
rnacentral:rRNA from 1 species